GUGAGUAGUAUUGAUGUAAAUGGACAAUAGAUGGACAAUAGACACCUGUAAACAAUAGGUGAUUUAACAGGUUUAAACUGUGUAACUGAGUGGACCGUAUCAAAUGAAACUCGGGUGUUUGUUUAUUUUGCUAUCUUCUGCAGACUGGAAAAAAAUGCACAUCAAAAUGCAGGUAAGUUUUUCAUUUUCUGAAACGUAGACUUCAUAUAACUUUUAUAUAUCUAGUUCCUGCCAUGCCUUAAAACUUUCCUAAAUGUACCAGUUUGUCUGUACUCAUAGUAGUUUUUGAGGUGUAAACACGGC
rnacentral:lncRNA from 1 species